rnacentral:rRNA from 1 species
CGCCCAGAGGUAGAACGGGUGGAUCCGCAAAGUCGGCUCGCGGAAUUCAGCGCGGCGCGCGGCCCGGGGCUUUCGCAGUAUGGGAUCCCUGGGACCCUGCUGUGUUGCUGCGCCGGGUCCCGCCGCGUGCACUUUCCGCGGGCAGAGCGCCACGACCGGUUCGGCGGCGGCCAUAAGCUCGGGGGGUUGCGUGGCUCAAAUUUAUUUGCAGUUACAGCCCUCCGCGGCGAGCCGCUGGCGGACCGAGGGACGGCCGUACGCUUCGAGGCUACCCGGCCACACGGGGGAGUUCGACUGGCGGGGACUGGGCAACCGUGCCUGCCGACCGCUCCUCUGGGUUGGAUCGGGCUAGCCGGGUGUGCUGAGGGUCGGUGGCGAGUCUGUCGGCAUUCCACCCGACCCGUCUUGAAACACGGACCAAGGAGUCUAACAUGCGCGCGAGUCAUUGGGCUGUACGAAACCCAAAGGCGCAGUGAAAGCGAGGGUCGCCUCGGGCUGACCCAGGUGGGAUCCUUCUCGCUCUCGGGCGGGGAGGCGCACCACCGGCCCGUCCCGUCUGCGUUGUCAGUGGGGCGGAGCAAGAGCGUGCACGCUGGGACCCGAAAGAUGGUGAACUCAUGCCUGAGUAGAACGAAGCCAGAGGAAACUCUGGUGGAAGUCCGUAGCGAUUCUNCACGUGCAAAUCGAUCGUCAAAACUUGGGUAUAGGGGCGAAAGACCUAGCNNU